ensembl:lncRNA
AUUUUGUGCGGCUUUCAGCCAUAGCCACUGCCCUGCCAUAAAAGAGCGGGAAAAAAAGAUGCUGAGGUGCGGCUGCUGGAGGGCUGGGUUGCUGUGGUGGUCCCUCAUCAGUGCCAGCAGCUGUGAGCCUUCAGCGGGGACUUGAUGGGGCUCAGCUGCCAUAGCCUUGCUUCAGCCUUUAUCAUGAGGAUCCAUGACUGUUUUGGAGGAGGUUCUUUUGCAAUACUUGGUCCUGGCCCAGAGAUGUGCUGGUCAGAAGGCAACAGAUCUCUGUAGAUGAGUUUAAUUAGAACACCUCCAGACCAGUUUUUGGACUUAUUUUGCAAAGCGUGGGCAGCUCUGUCAGAUGAACCAGACCACCAGUCCAGUCCCAGAGCCACCACUAUGCUGCAAGGACAAAGAAGACCAUCCUGUGCCCAGCUGCCUGGUGGGGUGGCUUUGACUCUUUGAGGAGCAAAGGGUGUAUCCAUAGUUGGGUUGGUUGGAUGGCUGUUGAUUACAUCCAGUAAAACAAAGGGAUGCAAAGGUUUCCAUGUGCACAACUCUGUGCUUAUGUGCUACUUAUGAGGUUGUUUCCAGCCAAACAGUCGUCUCGCCUAUGCCAGGAUUGUUCAAGAGGAGAAGGUCUGGGGAGAGAGAAGUUUGUGUGGUGCCAUGGGAGAAGGUGUGAUGUCUUGAUGCCACUGAAUUCAGUACAGACUCAGCCUGGCAAAUUAUGAGUUUUCCUGAAUAGCUCAUGGCAAAAGGAAGAUACAGGGAUACAGGGAGAAAAAAAUACGUGUAUAUGUACGUAUAUGUAUCUAUACAAAUAUAUGAAUACAUAUAUAUUUUAUAUACAUAUAUAUUUCCAGGAAAUUGGGGCCACAUUGCUGAAGAAUGGCUUAAAUUGGCAAGAGUUUAAUGAGCUUACUUGUCUAGGAGGAAAGCUUACUUGUCUGGGAAGUCACCUCUUGGAUUUCUAUUGUUGCAUAGGCUUCAGUUGUAGAAUGUUUCUUGUAGCAGUAGUUAACAGUCUUUUAAGGCUGUUACAACAGAUUGUAUUUUUCUUUUCUAAAGUUUAGGAAUAUUGAUAGAAACUCAGUGGGAGCUAGGAAAUGCUGGUGUUUGCUUCAGUAUCCCUAUCUUGUUUGAAGUGAAGCAUUGGAGUCCAGCUUGCCUGAGCUUGGGAUUCUCUGAGAGCCAGGAGCUAAGAGUGGGUGCCUCUCACGUUUCCUUCAAGAUGCUCCAACUUUGUGCUCUUGGCCUUGCCCUUAAUAUGUUAAUGCUACUAAAACCCACCCACGUGCUAUCUGUAAUUGCUGACCACUAUCUUAAGCCAUCCUGCAGUCUUUGAAGAAAAUUAAUUUUGGAAUUGUGAAAAACACAAAUUUUAUUUCACAAAGGAUUUGGAGAGUUCAGAAUCUGGCUUCUGUUCAUACUGGAAUGAAAUGUGACAUUUUCAAAUUCUUGGCAGAGGGAAAUUCUCAAAAAACUGCCUUUCAGAUUGAUCAAAAUGGUUCAUUUGGGGCUGGUCUUGCUUGAUUUCAUAAUCUAACAGAAAAAACUGAAGUCAUUUCAAAAUGAAAAAUCAAAAGCAUCAAAAAAAAUCUCCCCUCCCAAAGCUCGAGACAAAUUGGCAUGAUUCAUAAGCCCACUUUAGAGGGUUUCAGCAAAGUGUAUGUUUAUGGCCUGAUUGUGUUGCAUGAAAGAUCUGAAUUACUUCUGCAUGUUUGUAGUAAAAGCAUCUUAUAUGGGAUAAAGCCAUGCAGUCUGCUGUUUGUGUUCACUACAGACAGUUAUUGAAAGGAAUAUUCUUAAUCACUGUGGUGAUAUUAACAUUUUAAAGGUUUUACAGCAGUAAUAACUAUUUUUAACUUCUAAGGUUACUGUCUAUACAUUCCUGCAUUGUAUCUAGUCAUUUUGUCUUGGUGUAAAAUAGUAUGUAAGCAAGAUUUUCUUAACAAAGUUUAGCCAAGAUAUGAUUCUUAAUUACUUAAGCUUUGAUAAGUAAGAUUUGAGGUUUGUGCCAUCUUUCAUUAGGAAAAAUGAAAAUUCCUUAG